AUACGGAGGGGGCUAGCGUUGUUCGGAAUUACUGGGCGUAAAGCGUACGUAGGCGGACUGAUCAGUUGGGGGUGAAAUCCCAGGGCUUAACCCUGGAACUGCCUUCAAUACUGUCAGUCUUGAGUUUGGGAGCGGUGAGUGGAAUUCCUAGUGUAGAGGUGAAAUUCAUAGAUAUUAGGAGGAACACCAGUGGCGAAGGCGGCUCACUGGCCCAUUACUGACGCUGAGGUACGAAAGCGUGGGGAGCAAACAGGAGUAGAAACCCUAGUAGUCC
rnacentral:rRNA from 1 species